rnacentral:rRNA from 1 species
GUGUCAGCCGCCGCGGUAAUACGAAGGACCCGAGCGUUAUCCGGAUUUAUUGGGUUUAAAGGGUGCGUAGGCGUCCUGGAAAGUUACGGUUGAAAUCUCCUUGCUCAACAAGGAAACUGGCCGUAAAACUAUCAGGAUUGAGUACAUUUGAAGCGGGCGGAAUGUGUCAUGUAGCGGUGAAAUGCUUAGAUAUGACACAGAACACCAAUUGCGAAGGCAGCUCGCUAAACUGUAACUGACGCUGAGGCACGAAAGCGUGGGGAUCAAACAGGAUUAGAUACCCCCGUAGUCC